rnacentral:rRNA from 1 species
GAUCCUGGCUCAGGAUGAACGCUGGCGGCGCGCCUAACACAUGCAAGUCUAACGGCACCCCUCUCCGGAGGGAAGCGAGUGGCGAACGGCUGAGUAACACGUGGAGAACCUGCCCCCUCCCCCGGGAUAGCCGCCCGAAAGGACGGGUAAUACCGGAUACCCCCGGGCGCCGCAUGGCGCCCGGGCUAAAGCCCCGACGGGAGGGGAUAGCUCCGCGGCCCAUCAGGUAGACGGCGGGGUGACGGCCCACCGUGCCGACAACGGGUAGCCGGGUUGAGAG